rnacentral:rRNA from 1 species
CCUACGGGUGGCAGCAGUGAGGAAUAUUGGUCAAUGGGGGAAACCCUGAAGCAGCAACGCCGCGUGGAGGAUGAAGGUUUUAGGAUUGUAAACUCCUUUUGUGAGAGAAGAUAAUGACGGUAUCUCACGAAUAAGCACCGGCUAACUCCGUGCCAGCAGCCGCGGUAAUACGGAGGGUGCAAGCGUUACUCGGAAUCACUGGACGUAAAGAGUGCGCAGGCGGGCUUGUAAGUCAGAUGUGAAAUCCUGUAGCUUAACUACAGAACUGCAUUUGAAACUAUGAGUCUAGAGUGUGGGAGAGGUAGGUGGAAUUCUUGGUGUAGGGGUAAAAUCCGUAGAUAUCAAGAGGAAUACUCAUUGCGAAGGCAGCGUACCGGCGCCAGACUGACGCUGAGGCACGAAAGCGUGGGGAUCGAACAGGAUUAGAUACCCGAGUAGUC